rnacentral:tRNA from 1 species
GUUUUAAUAGUUUACAUAAUAAAAUAUUGAUUUUGUAAAUCAAAGAAAAAUUUUAAUUUUUAAAACU